ACGAACGCUGGCGGCGUGCUUAACACAUGCCAGUCGAACGGAAAGGCCCUGCUUGCAGGGUACUCGAGUGGCGAACGGGUGAGUAACACGUGGGUGAUCUGCCCUGCACUUCGGGAUAAGCCUGGGAAACUGGGUCUAAUACCGGAUAGGAGCCAUUUUUAGUGUGAUGGUUGGAAAGUUUUUUCGGUGUAGGAUGAGCUCGCGGCCUAUCAGCUUGUUGGUGGGGUAAUGGCCUACCAAGGCGGCGACGGGUAGCCGGCCUGAGAGGGUGGACGGCCACAUUGGGACUGAGAUACGGCCCAGACUCCUACAGGAGGCAUCAGUGGGGAAUAUUGCACAAUGGGCGCAAGCCUGAUGCAGCGACGCCGCGUGGGGGAUGACGGCCUUCGGGUUGUAAACUCCUUUCGCUAGGGACGAAGCUUUUUGUGACGGUACCUAGAUAAGAAGCACCGGCUAACUACGUG
rnacentral:rRNA from 1 species